UGUGUGUGUGUGUGUGUGAGCAGACGUCCCCUUGUCACCCCGUGUGCGGACAGACGCAGUCACGCCAGUAGGAGGGGAUUGUGGGAAGGGGGCGUAGCUCUCAGAGGGUGUGCUCUCCUCCUCUCUUUUCCCUUCUUCCCGCCAUCACGGCCCUCUUCUCCUCCAGUCCUCCGGCCCAGCCCGCCGCUCACACACAGGCUCCAGGGGUGUUACCUGUGAGGAUCGUGACGCUGAAGGAUGGAUGUGGAUGCUGUCCUUGGGGCUGAGGUAGUAGAUUGAAUAGUUGUGGGGUUGUAUGACCUCUUUCUGAGAUAACUAUACAAUCUACUGUCUUUCCUAAGGAGACAGCUGAGUCAGCCAGUGAGCAACCGCCAUCUCCAUAUGGGUGAUCAAGUUGUCCAAUUAAAACUUACACCUGCAGCAUUCAGUAUCAUGUACUGUGUCCUGUAUGUGAGGCACCCAGAUGUCUGCCUGUUUCCACCACACAGCCAAACAGGCGGAUCGGUGGUGUUUGAUUUGUGCUCUGUCAGGGUGAGGUAGUAGGUUGUAUAGUUUGGUGGGUGGGAUUGCACCCUGCUCAGGUGAUAACUAUACAGUCUAUUGCCUUCCCUGAGGAGCUCACUGCACGCUUAUGGAUGCACAACACAUCAACAUGGAUAAAUAUCACGUUUAUUGCCUGCUCAUAACAAAACAAGUUACACAUUUCCUGCAAACGGUUAGUGUUGAGCUCACUGUUACAUGGCUUGGUUGAAAACAUGUACAUCUCAAUAAAGUUAUACUGAAAGAA